AUACUUUGGUUUCUCUUCAGAUCAUAUAAAUCUUUCACCUUUUACUACAGAUUUCUGUGGAGAGGAACAUUUAUGAGUUUCUACCCAAUUUUUUGAGGCUUCUUGGUAACC
rnacentral:snRNA from 1 species